GAUGAACGCUGGCGGCGUGCCUAAUACAUGCAAGUCGAGCGAACAGACGAGGAGCUUGCUCCUCUGACGUUAGCGGCGGACGGGUGAGUAACACGUGGAUAACCUACCUAUAAGACUGGGAUAACUUCGGGAAACCGGAGCUAAUACCGGAUAACAUGUUGAACCGCAUGGUUCAACAGUGAAAGACGGUCUUGCUGUCACUUAUAGAUGGAUCCGCGCCGCAUUAGCUAGUUGGUAAGGUAACGGCUUACCAAGGCAACGAUGCGUAGCCGACCUGAGAGGGGGAAUGGCCCAACUGGAACUGAGAAAAGGUCCAGACCCCUAAGGGAGGCAGCAGUAGGGAAACUUCCGCCAUGGGGGAAAGCCUGACGGAGCAACGCCGGGGGAGGGAAGAAGGUCUUCGGAUCGUAAAACUCUGUUAUUAGGGAAGAACAAAUGUGUAAGUAACUAUGCACGUCUUGACGGUACCUAAUCAGAAAGCCACGGCUAACUACGUG
rnacentral:rRNA from 1 species